GUCAAAAUACCAUGUUAUUUUACGACUGCAAAUUAAAAUGGGAUCUCAUUCAAAAAAAUGUAACAUUUUCGAAUUUCUUUCUUUAUUUUUAAUUAUUAUUACAGUAGUGGUGGCUAUACAGUGGUUACUUUUAGUAACAAUAAUUGUAAAGAUAGGCCUAUUUUAGUGGAAAAUACCAUUUUUGAAUUUUCGAAAGCUUCCGUGUAAAUUGUCUAAUGCAACUAUUGUUUGUUUUAGCAGACUAAACUCAUUUUCUUUUGCAUUCCUUACAAAUAUAUAUAAAUAAUGUAAAUCCUUGCAUAUGAGAUUUCAACCACAGAAUUAGUUGUAAAACCAUAAACAGCCGAAGCUCAUAUAAAAUGUCUCCCUGUGGCACUGAUAUUAUGGCCUAAUAAAGCAAUGGCAACAGUGGAAAAUUAGGGUGCAAAAGAAUUUAUCAAAAUAGCUGCUAUGAUACUCAACACCUCAGGAUAUUACUUUCAAGGAGAGAAGUUCAUUCCAAAUUUAAUGAAAGAAAAACAAAAUCCAGACAAGAAACUUUAAUUAUAAAAAACAAGUAGGCCUGAUCUGUCACAGAUUUCAAUAAACUUUGUAUUUUAUUAAACAUCAUGAUUUACACUGGAAAAUCCCACAUCCCGAGAUUCCUGUAAAAGAAAAAGAUAAUUAUUACCAUCUAGUGGCUAUACAAUGUACAACACUUACACAUAGAAAGGCAACAAAUGAGACUUCCAACCAACGUAAGCUUUCUUAAAUCUAACUCAAAUGUAAAGAAUGUCAAAAAAUGUUUAUAGCCUACUAAUAUAGAACAAAUAUGUUUAAAAUCAUCUGCCUCUUUCAUUCCAAACUCAUUAAUCAUAGGCUGACCUCAGUUCUCAAGCCAAACAGGCCAGAUUCGAAUCCCUUCUGUUUGAUGUGGUUACAGUGGGCAUUUAAACCUUUUCACCCGCGGUGUUAGAUUGUGAGCAGUUAUCAGAUUUGGAUUUGGCAUACUAAGCUUCACUUAGUCUGAAAGAGCACAGAGUGAUUCUGAUACCCCUCCAGCUCGGGAAGGAAAUACAUACCAGACAGAGCGAUUUUUAUCACCCACAGCAUUUGCAUGUCAGACCCAAAUCCAAUCCAAUUUUGGUAAAAUGAACUUCAAUUUUACAUUUACGUAAUUUUAUUCAAAAGCAACUGACAUUGCAUAACAGUUCAUGCAUUCCCUGGGAAUCAAACCCAUGAUCUUUGUGUUGUUAGCGUCAUGUUCUGCUGGAACAUUUUACUGAUCAAUACAUGUUUUUGUUCUCUGUCUUGACAGAAAAAAUAAACCCAUUUUGAAAGUGUAGGGUCCUCUCAGGUGCCACACUCUCUCUGUCUCUGUGUAUGGAGCCUCCCAAGGACUGAUAUGAGAUUAUUAUCAGGUAACACAAUUCUCCAUGUUUUCAUGCCACCUAUCAGAAACAUAUCCAUCCUUUUAAUCUUAUCUGAGCGCUCAGGCAUACCUCUGUGUUCUCGACUGACACGAAAUGUGUCUUUAAAAAACAACCCCACCAGACUCACAGUCUUGACGUCACCGCUACAAGCAAGCCUCCAGGACCGAUCAAAUUGAGAAGUAGGGCGACUUGCCUAAAGACUUUACAAAUUGUGGGUGACAGAUGGAGGCCCUAAUUAGAGCUCACCCAACUGUGAAUUAAGGUGAUGUGAGAUCAUGUCAUGACACCAUAUCCUGUUUGGGAAGCUGUGCCAUGGUGGUAUCUCUCUCAUUCAAGCUAAUGGAGCUCAGAGCACUUAGGCUGUCACUAUUUAUCAAAACGGCCACCGUGUCCUGUGACUCCGCUGCACUGGACUGCACAUUUUGUGGUUGGAAGUCCUGCAUCAUCAGUGUUCACGUUUCUUGUUUGCGUUGUACGUGAAUAGAGAAAGAGUAUUGAGGACACUCUCUCAGGACGCUGACAUAAUGGAAGUGUGGGUGCUUCUUAAAAUACGAUGGAAAUCACAAGGCCCGAUGCCGUCUGCUGCAUGGGACAGUGUGACCGCUGAGGGUGGUGUUGAUGUGGAGUGUGUGUCGGGCGGUUUGACACGUGGCAGGGUAAGAUAUCUGUGUCUGAAUGGAGCAGAGCCUGACCCAGGAUAAGAGAGGUAUGAGGACAAUGCCAUCAGCUGGAAUUAAGAGAGGGGAGGCGGAUGGUGUAAGACAACGCGUGGAGGAGUGUGGCAAAACCUGAUGGAUUACCGUGAUUAAAACUGAGUGUAACAGGAGAACUGCUCUCUCACAUCUGGAGACAUACACACACACACACACACACACAAAGCACAAUGCUAACCCUGUUUGAGCUAGCGUUAUGUAAUUGCCUGCUCUAGUCACACUGUCUUGCAGUAUAAAUUGUAUAGUCUGAAUGCUGUGACAUGUUUCCAGAUGAACGUCAAUGAACUUUUGUUCAAAAGCUGGUGGCAGAGUGUUGGAGGAAAGGAUUGUGGGAUAAAUUUAUUUCGAAACAACAACAUUUCUGUUCUUAUUUACAAAGCAACAUGACAAUUGACAAAUGACAAUUUGACAGCCUCAGUCCCCAUCCACUUUCUCUGUAUGGAAAAGUACACCCUUGUGAAAAAGAAGUGUGCUUAAUUGUAUUGUGGACUUGUAGUGUACUUAAAAUCUUAAAAGCAUAUUUAAAAAAAAAAAAAAAACAAAAAAAAAAAAACAGUACUUGCAGAGAAUACAAUAAUAGUGAAAUAAAAGACAACAUAAGUGUAUAUAAAGAGAGUCCAAUUUCAUGACUAUGAUUUUAUAACACUUUUGCAAGUACAUGUAAACUUAUUCUACUAACCCAAACCUAACAGUCUACUAAUACUCUAAUGAGAGGUAGUUGACAUAUAGGUGCAACGUUACUUAUAGUCAACAGAAUGUCUAAAGGGGAUUAAUUUACUAAAAUUUACUAAUUUACUAAAGCACAUGUAAAUUGCUUGAUUAUGAUUUUAACUGUAGUGUGUUAUUCGAUCAUUACACUAUUACAAAUGUGUAAUUACAAAUAUAGUUCAACACAUUACAUAAAACUUAAAAAAAAAAUGACAUUAAAGUUUUUUUAGUUUAGCAUAAAUGCUUGUCAUGCUUGUACAUUCAACAGUACACUUUAACCACAUUUUAAAAACAAUAGAAAUAACUAUGCAAUUUCAUAUAAAGAUGUACUUAAAAAGCACUAAACUUCAGCUAAUUGCAUUUAAUAUAAAUUUAAACUAUAAUACAUUUUCAUUUAUCUGCAAUUAACAGUUAAUCCAGUUCGCACUUGAGUAUAUUCUUUUAAAAUAUUUCAUUUUUAGUUUUAGUACUCAUUAGUACUCUUUUUAAAAGUAUGCUGAAGUGUACUUCUUUUUCACAGGGGACAACAUUUUGCACAAUUACUCUGCUCCACAGAAGAAAUAAAGUCAUACAGCUUUA